GGGGAAAAGCUCAAAUUUUAAAUCUGCUAGGUUUUACCUAUCAGAAUUGUAAUUUGAAGAAGCGUUUUCACGUCUCAGUUAGCCCAAAUCCUUUGGGAUGAGGUAUCAUGGAGGGUGAGAAUCCCGUUCAGUUGACCUCAUGAUGUUCUACGAUACGCUUUCUAA
rnacentral:rRNA from 1 species